UCCCCUUUUGGGGGCAGUCUGGUAUGAUAGAGGCAACAUACCACGGGGGUUGCGCUCGUUGCGGGACUUAACCCAACAUCUCACGACACGAGCUGACGACAGCCAUGCAGCACCUGUGCGCGAUCUCCGAAGAGGGGCUCUCGUUUCUGAGAGCUUGCUCGCGCAUGUCAAGCCUAGGUAAGGUUCUUCGCGUUGCGUCGAAUUAAACCACAUGCUCCACCGCUUGUGCGGGCCCCCGUCAAUUCCUUUGAGUUUCAACCUUGCGGUCGUACUCCCCAGGCGGGGUACUUCCUGCGUUAGCGCCGGCACCCAGAGGGUCGCUCCCCCAGGCACCUAGUACCCAUCGUUUACGGCGUGGACUAC
rnacentral:misc_RNA from 1 species